CACGUCUUCCUGUUGUUCUAAUAGUGACCCCAAUGUGUGCUGAGCAUUUUCCUGUGCUGUUGUCUUCUAGAGAUGUUCUGUAUGCCCUUCUUUUCUCUUUUUGAUCCGGCUUAUCUUUCCCAUUUCUGGGAACAUUAGACAGUGUCUGGUUCCUUUCAGGUGCUGGUGUUCUCUUGCUUUUUCUUGCUGGCUUUUUCACCGUGUCCAUGCUUCCCGGGUGGUAUGGUGCCGUCAUAAAUGCCCUUCCAAGCUGCGUGACAGUGACGGAUGAUAUACCAAUAAUUGAGAGGCUUAUAAGUGACCAAGAGGAGUUAAGAAACGAGAGCCUCAGAUGGGAGUAUGUAAAACAGAGAUCAACAGAUUGGAACGGAACAAAAUGGCGUCAAUCGAAACAAGAAUGGAGGCAAGUAUGGAAAGCAGUUGACUGGAGGAAAAGUAAUCAUUAUAUACUGACAAGAGAGGAUAAAACGAAGAAAAUGGUGUUAAUGAAAGCAGACACAUGAAAGUUUUCUUAAUAGCUACAUAACAGAAUCUGGAGCUGUGGAACUCACCAAAGACCAACUAAGAGUUUAGAAUUGAAAGUGAAUAAAAUAAUAAACCACAAGAAUUUCCCCCAAUUAUGGAAAGUAAGGAGACAGAAGGCACCAAUAUGUUCACGAAUCUUUGCAUAUAUUAAAGUGCAUAAGACACCAACCAGCUUUAUUCCAAUAGUAGAAAAAAGAAGGGCUCCAACAUAUGAAUUAGAAAAACAAUUGUGGAGUAGUGCAAUAAAAUAUUAGGGGAAACAGAGAACUCAACCAAAAUUACAAUGGUAGC
rnacentral:lncRNA from 1 species